rnacentral:rRNA from 1 species
UUUCCGUAGGUGAACCUGCGGAAGGAUCAUUGUCGAAGCCCACAAAGCACGACCGCGGACCAGUUGUUAAUCGGGGAAGCGUCGGGGACCCUAGGGCCCCCUCCGCCCCCCGCCCGGCCCCGACACGGGGCCUCGCGCCUCGUGCCAGCCGAACCUAACGAACCCCGGCGCGGACAGCGCCAAGGAAUCAUAACGAAGGAACUCGUCCCUCGCGGCCCGUCCUCGGGCGGCGAUGGGACGAAGGUCUAUUCAAAUACCAUAACGACUCUCGGCAACGGAUAUCUCGGCUCUCGCAUCGAUGAAGAACGUAGCGAAAUGCGAUACUUGGUGUGAAUUGCAGAAUCCCGUGAACCAUCGAGUCUUUGAACGCAAGUUGCGCCCGAAGCCAUUAGGCCGAGGGCACGUCUGCCUGGGCGUCACGUAUUGUGUUGCCCCCCAUACAAGAGAAGUGUGGGGGGCGGAGCUUGGCCUCCCGUGAGCCCCCACUCGCGGAUGGCUUAAAAACGAGCCUCGGGACGACUAGACGUCGCGACAAGUGGUGGUUUUAAGGCCUCGAGCCUUUGCUCUUUGCGCGUCGCGCGGCCGUCGACCCCGUACCGCUCGAAAGUACCCCGAACGCAACGUCCCCGACGAUGCCAGCAUCGCGACCCCAGGUCAGGCGGGACUACCCGCUGAGUUUAA